GUGGACGUUAAGCUCGCCGGUAUUACGAUGACAUAAAAAUUUCCGCCGCUAUAUUCCAUCCCGCGAACGCGCAUCAACGUUCCGCUGAAUGCCGUUGCGUCUGCGAUCUUUCAGAGUUACUUGCGCGAACGCGGCUGCGUCUGUUCAUACGGUGAAUUUCAUGAAUGAUAAACCUGCCAAUUUGAAUUUUCGAUCUAAUUUGUAAAAAUAUAUGAAAAGCACUCGAAUUUUCCAUGAUUCGCUGUAACUAGCGGUUGAUUGUGCAGCCCGAGAACAUUCGGUUUCAUGUUUCAUAAAGGAAUCUCAGGUAAUUGAAUUCUCUACGAGCACAAUAUAUUUGAAAGCAACGUCAUUGAAAUACUUCUCGCGCAUAACUUGGCGCUUUGCGAGUGAAAAAGUAGUGAGUGGAACGCGCGUCACGUUUGCGCGGAGAUUUACUUCCACAUCGUGUGCGGAACUCGAAAAAUAAUGCGGACUAAUUCCACGACCGGAAAAAAAAUCAAAGCCUCGAGCAUGAGGGGGCGUCUGUCCAGAGUAUAAAAAUAUGCGGGAAAAAAAAGCGACCGCGUGUGACGGGGAUAUUUACCGUCGUAGUGACGAAAAGAAAAUACGCCAAACGUCUUCGUGGAUGAAAACGAAGGGAAGCGAACGGAGAGGGCGGAGGCAACGAAAAGCAUGGAAACAGGGGUUUCAUACGCAGCAUCCAGAAGACGAGGCCCAUGGACCAGAUACGCGCUCGUAUAUCAGAGCAUGAAAUACGAUGCUCGGCUAUCGAGAUUACGCAACGUCAACGUGAUAUGGGAACGGAGAAACUGCCACGGACAAGGCAAGCUCGCACGAAUGUAGCAUUUCUAGAACCAUGUCGAAGGAGAGACGUCCAAAGCCCUCGAAAGCUCCGUUUCCCCUGCGCCUCUUUGAACCAACCGAUAUAAUAGACCCGUCGAUUUCCCGAUACGCGUUCGGCUACCCUACCAAAGUCCUUGGUAUUGCGGCGUACGUCAAAACCACCAUAACGCCAUACCUCGGCGCCCCUGGUGCUCCGGCGAUCCCGCGGGCACCAUUGUUCCGAGGCCUAACGUAAAAUACAAAUUAAUUUUGCCCCUGCCCGUUCUGCCCCGCUGACCGAGCAAUUUUCCGCGAGUUCGGUGCACCGAGGAGCAUUCACAAAACCGACGCUUCUCGUUGUAUACGUCUGCGCUCGUACGCAGUCACGUUUAAUUAACUAAUUAAUCGAUUAUUAAAUAAUCCAUUGGAAACGGAACAAUUUUUCUGGUUGUACAAACAAUUUCGUGCAUGAAUAAAACGCACGUUGCAUAAUUACGCUCGAGAAUCGGGGAGAGGAAAAUUAUUCGAAACGGACAUUCGGCGCUCCGCGGACUUUCCCUCCGCAUACGUAAUCGCCUGAUUUUCACUACCAAUUCCAACGAUCCCAGCAGGCAUCGGGAGCUCGUGAAUGCACUCGUAAUGACAGCGGCUUGACAGCUCCGAGUAUCAUCUUCCAUCAUACGAGGAUUCGGAUGCUGCACAAAAGCUCGAAUUAUCAGAGCCGAUGAGUGUGGGGACCGGAAGGAAAUUGGGUCCGAAAUUAGAUGGUGAUCUGGCACACACAAAUCCUGUGGCAGAUUCGAGAAACCGUGUCCGACAACGGGCUCGUCGAUGAGGCAUUUGAAUUUAUAUUGCAUGCAACGUGACUCCCUCUCCCACUUCUCCUCAUCCCUCCUCGCAAUAUUCCCGGAUAUAGUUACAACUUGGACGCGAAACGCGUGGGGUUAUCCGCGUAUCUCUCAUGCGAGAGUACAGUUACUCUGUACAGUUCGUCACCAGAGACGAGAUACGCCGGAGCCCGGGAUUGAAACGCGAGGGAGGUGUCAUGAUAACAUCCCUCAGUGGCGAACCCACGCACGAGCUUAUACCCAUUGUGACUAUACGAGCAGGCUGUCGUGCAUACUCUGCUCCGUGUUAGCGAAAACCAUUUUCUCUGGGAAUUGAUCAGGAACGUCGAUUUGAUUUUCGACCUCCGAGCGGAUACUUGCGUAUGGGGCAGAACGCAGUUGGAGAGAAAACUUGAUUGUGGGACUAAAAUCUCGAGGUGGCUGUGAACGGGAAAAUUAUCUGGAGUUUUCCAAGCCUCAUUAGGCCGGGUGAACGUCGCUGGGAAUGGGUUUCAUACUGAAAAUGGGAGAUUAAACGGAAUUAUAUGGAAGCGAAAGAAACGAGGAGAAAGGAAAAUUUAUUUAUUUUUUUCUUAUUAAUGAAGAUUUUCUUGAAGCAUCUACGAGUUGUGAACGAACAGCGAAUCGCAUUGGUGGAUUUGCCCGCGAGAAAAGCCCCAUGGAAAAUGGAGCGUAGUCGCCGCGGGCUCCUGUCGACGGGAUUGUUUCCCGCAGCGACCUUUGAAUAAAUCGAUUCAUGCUCGUUGUAGGACGCGAGCUUUUUCAACGGAAACACCACACGCUAUCAUCGUACUUUGUAUGUCUAUGCCACUCUUUACUCUCAAACUCUUUGUCUCCAACAUCACUUUACAUGUUAAAUAAUACGAGUUACGCCUUUUUCCGGGAAAGCUCGUGGGGCCGUAAUAUCUGCGGAAUCUUGGAACUUUGAUGGCAAGCUCAUCGUGGAGCAGAUAUAUUAAUGAAUUUGCGAGCACGGCUUUCAAACUCCGAUACAAAGGGAACGAAAUUUGAUCGAAUUUACAGACAACGGGCAUUUUUUAUUUGACAUUUUGCUGGUAAAUCUCGCUCAGAAAAUUUGUGGAAAUUUUGAUUUUUAAUAAAUUUCAUUUUUCAACGAAUGAAAAACGAAAGUUCGAUAAGCAUGAAAAAUCGAUCCAAUCCGAUUUCAAGUGCUAUAAAAUUUUGAAGAGUAUCAAAAAUACUUUCUAACUCGAUUAUUGGGACUGGAAUACCUCACAUCCGUGCACUUACAUAAUUUGAUCCAGAGAGGCGCGCUUUGUAGAGUCACGCGGAUCAAAGAUUUCUAUACAACUCGUGAAGACCACUGAACAUCCAAAGUCGCGUAUCGCGCGAGCAUCGGAGUGAGGUAACUGCUCAUGGAGACAGGAAUUUUUUCAGGUAGAAAAUGAAAUAGGGAAAAGAUGCAAGAAACAUGAAGGGAGAGGCUUCGCUGACAUGAGAAUCUCUUGAAAUAUAAAUUGUGGUUUAAUUCAACGAACACACGAGUUUUUGAGACUCUGUAAAAAGCCCUCGGUGCUGAAAAACACGGAAUAGCAAUUCACGUGGACGGUAUCCGCGUGAGUAACUUCAAUUUCGUUAAAUCCAAUCAAUGUCCACUUUUCCACUUCCGGUAACUUGAUUGAACUGUAACGGACAUGAGAAUUGGCUUAUCCUUGACAGAGUUUCUUGUUUCUUUCAACUUUCAGUGCGCAACCUCGAGUCAGUCACUUGGAGUAUAGAAUUGAAGUUUACAUUUUCGAUUCGCGAGUGCUUCGAAAACUGUAAAAAAGGGGCAAAUAAUGCGCGGAAAUGCAGUUGCGAUGAGCGGAGCAAUGCGAAUCACAUUCUCAUUGAGAGUUCUUCAGCUUCGCGAAAUUAAAAAUCGUUUUCGUAUGAGCAAGUUUUUUCGAGCUCCAUAAGCUGGGCAAGAACGUGUACUUGGAACCCUUUCACAAAACUGAAUGCGAGUCGACCUUACGUUGGGGUGGAUCAAGAUGUACGUGUAAAACUUGGAUGUGUAUUGGGAGAGGGAUCGUGUUCCGAGGAUUAUGGAGUGUUCCCAGAAAAUGAAGAAAGAGGGAUGACUUCGUAGCUGGGUCGUUGAGUUUCAUUCUCUCAUUCGAAUAUUGAAGUUGCGAGCGUUUGAAUAUAUCACGUUGAAUUAAAGUUUC